rnacentral:rRNA from 1 species
UUAGAGUUUGAUCCUGGCUCAGGACGAACGCUUGCGGCGUGCCUAAGAAAUGCAAGUCGAACGGGUAUCACCUUCGGGUGGUGCCAGUGGCGAACGGUCGCGUAACACGUAAGCAACCUGCCCCGAAGUGGGGGAUAACAGCUCGAAAGGGCUGCUAAUACCGCAUGUGGCCAGCGUAUCGCAUGAUGCGCUGUCUAAAGCCUUGUGCGCUUCGGGAUGGGCUUGCGGCCUAUCAGUUAGUUGGUGGGGUAACGGCCUACCAAGGCGUUGACGGGUAGCUGGUCUGAGAGGAUGGUCAGCCGGAUUGGGACUGAGACACGGCCCAGACUCCUACGGGGGGCAGCAAUUAGGAAUCUUGCGCAAUGGGGGCAACCCUGACGCAGCGACGCCGCGUGCGGGAUGACGGCCUUCGGGCUGUAAACCGCUUUUGAAGGGGAAGAAGAAUGUGACGGUACCCUUCGAAUAAGCCCCGGCUAACUACGUGCCAGCAGCCGCGGUAAUACGUAGGGGGCGAGCGUUGUCCGAAGUUACUGGGCGUAAAGCGCGCGUAGGCGGUUUUCUAAGUCCGGCGUGAAAGGUUCAGGGCUCAACCCGAACAGUGCGCUGGAGACUGGAGAAGCUUGAGGAACGGGAGAGGGAAGCGGAAUUCCGGGUGUUAGCGGUUGAAAAUGCGUAAUUUCCGGAGGGACACCGAUGGCGAAGGCAAGCUUCCUUGGCCCGUUAUCUGACGCUGAGGUUGCGAAAGCGUUGGGGGAGCGACGGGAUUUAGAUACCCCGGGUAGUCCAACGCCCGUAAACGAUGAGUUGCCUAGGUGUUCCAGGUAUCGACCCCUCGGGGUGCGAACCCAACGCAGUAAGCACUCCCGGCCUGGGGGAAGUUCGGCCCGCAAGGUUUGAAACUCAAAGGAAUUGACGGGGGCCCGCACAAGCGGUGGAGCAUGUGGUUUAAUUCGUCACUAACCGAAGAACCUUACCCAGGCUUGACAUCGCGUGAAAGGCCCUGAAAGGGGUCCCUCCCCGCAAGGGGACACAAAGACAGGUGUUGCAUGGCUGUCGUCAGCUCGUGUCGUGAGAUGUUGGGUUAAGUCCCGCAACGAGCGCAACCCUCACCCCAUGUUGCCAGCAGGCCGAAAGGUGCUGGGCACUCUUGGGGAACUGCCCGUGCAAGCGGGAGGAAGGUGGGGAUGACGUCAAGUCGGCAUGGCCCUUACGCCUGGGGCUACACACAUGCUACAAUGGACGCACAAACAAACGGUUUUCCGAGGCCGCGAGGCGGAGGCAAUCCGACAAAGGCGUCCUCAGUUGGGAUUGCAGGCUGCAACUCGCCUGCAUGAACGCGGAAUCGCUAGUAACCGCCGGUCAGCUAAACGGCGGUGAAUACGUUCCCGGGCCUUGUACACACCGCCCGUCAAGUCACCGAAUUGUCUGCACCCGAAGUCGCUGGCCAUAACCCGCUUGUCGGGAGGGAGGCGCCGAACGGUGUGGGGAGUAAGGGGGACUAAGUCGUAACAAGGUAGCCGUAUCGGAAGGUGCGGC